GCUUAGGCAACAAAUAGCUAGCUUACAAGCAAGUCGUGCUCAAAUGAGAGGCAUAGCAACUCAUACUCAGGCAAUGCAUGCCCAUUCUUCAGUUGCUGUUGGUUUGAAAAAUGCCACAAAAGCAAUGACAUCUAUGAAUAAGCAAAUGGCUCCUGCAAAGCAAGCAAAGGCUAUAAGGGAAUUUCAGAAGCAGUCAGCGCAGAUGGAUAUGACUACAGAAAUGAUGUCAGAAGCCAUAGAUGA
rnacentral:misc_RNA from 1 species